GCCAGCAGCCGCGGUAAUACGUAGGGCGCGAGCGUUGUCCGGAAUUAUUGGGCGUAAAGAGCUUGUAGGCGGUUUGUCGCGUCUGCUGUGAAAGGCCGGGGCUUAACCCCGUGUAUUGCAGUGGGUACGGGCAGACUAGAGUGCAGUAGGGGAGACUGGAAUUCCUGGUGUAGCGGUGGAAUGCGCAGAUAUCAGGAGGAACACCGAUGGCGAAGGCAGGUCUCUGGGCUGUAACUGACGCUGAGAAGCGAAAGCAUGGGGAGCGAACAGGAUUAGAUACCCUGGUAGUCCAUGCCGUAAACGUUGGGCACUAGGUGUGGGGGACAUUCCACGUUUUCCGCGCCGUAGCUAACGCAUUAAGUGCCCCGCCUGGGGAGUACGGCCGCAAGGCUAAAACUCAAAGAAAUUGACGGGGGCCCGCACAAGCGGCGGAGCAUGCGGAUUAAUUCGAUGCAACGCGAAGAACCUUACCAAGGCU
rnacentral:rRNA from 1 species